AGCGAACGCUGGCGGCAGGCCUAACACAUGCAAGUCGAACGAACUCUUCGGAGUUAGUGGCGGACGGGUGAGUAACACGUGGGAACGUGCCUUUUGGUUCGGAAUAACUCAGGGAAACUUGUGCUAAUACCGAAUGUGCCCUUCGGGGGAAAGAUUUAUCGCCAUUAGAGCGGCCCGCGUCUGAUUAGCUAGUUGGUGAGGUAACGGCUCACCAAGGCGACGAUCAGUAGCUGGUCUGAGAGGAUGACCAGCCACACUGGGACUGAGACACGGCCCAGACUCCUACGGGAGGCAGCAGUGGGGAAUCUUGCGCAAUGGGCGAAAGCCUGACGCAGCCAUGCCGCGUGAAUGAUGAAGGUCUUAGGAUUGUAAAAUUCUUUCACCGGGGACGAUAAUGACGGUACCCGGAGAAGAAGCCCGGCUAACUUCGUG
rnacentral:rRNA from 1 species